GAGGGGAUAGCUCAAGUAGCAUGGCACAUGCUUAGCACGCAUGAGGUCCUGGGUUCAAUCCCCAGUACCUCCU
rnacentral:tRNA from 1 species